GUGGAUUAGAUACCCUGGUAGUCCACGCCGUAAACGAUGGAUACUAGCUGUUGGAAGCAAUUUCAGUGGCUAAGCGAAAGUGAUAAGUAUCCCACCUGGGGAGUACGAACGCAAGUUUGAAACUCAAAGGAAUUGACGGGGGCCCGCACAAGCGGUGGAGCAUGUGGUUUAAUUCGAUGAUACGCGAGGAACCUUACCAAGGCUUAAAUGCAGACUGACCGAUUUGGAAACAGAUCUUUCGCAAGACAGUUUACAAGGUGCUGCACGGUUGUCGCCAACU
rnacentral:rRNA from 1 species